GACAGAGGGGGCAAGCGUUGUCCGGAGUUACUGGGAGUAAAGGGUGCGCAGGCGGCCGUGUGUGUAAGGUGUGAAAUCCUAGGGCUCAACCCUAGAACUGCGCCUUAAACUACAUGGCUAGAGUAUUGGAGAGGGUAGUGGAAUUCACGGUGUAGCAGUGAAAUGCGUAGAUAUCGUGAGGAACACCAGAGGCGAAGGCGACUACCUGGACAAUUACUGACGCUCAGGCACGAAAGCGUGGGGAGCAAAAGGG
rnacentral:rRNA from 1 species